CAGAUAAAAAUAAAUCUGGGCGACAUGGCAACAGACACUAAUAAAGAAUGUUAUGUUGCACAGGGACUUCGAGAAAUGGCAGUAUGUGCACCGGGGCUCUGACUGAUACACAUGAAAUAGAUUGAUAUCCUGCAGUACAGUGUAAUCUACUGUGUAUUUCUCAGCGGUUCAGACUCGGUGCUGAUUUAACUGGACUGGACAACCCGUUACAUCCUGAGAACAUCGAGACCAACGUCAUCCAAGUUUCCCAGGUGCUCUCUGUCUUCCCGACCUUUGACCCCGUUUCCUCCCUAGAGGGCAGACAGCGGAUACCUGGAGCUCAGCCCGGAGAGGAGAUGUGAUUGGUGGAGCAGCGAUCAGGUGAGCUCUGCUUCUGUCUCUUUACACAAUAACAUCGUUGUCCUCUCCGCGGAGUUCAGGGGGCCCUCUGGCUCCUGGAGACAAGAGAGGCUCCUGUUUGUAAACCUUUGAUCAGUGAUUGUGAGCAACCUUUUAUUCACUGAUCACACACACUGUCAUUAGACCUGCAGAGGGGCAGAUGGGACUUUUAGCUGGACAGACACUUUAGUCAUUUACUGAAGGAGGACAUUAAAGUGAUUGGAUGAGGACUUUGGUAACACUUUAUAAAACAGACUGCGAUUUAUAGUGUGAUUUCAUUGUAUGAAUCAGGUACCAAUAAAAACUUGACUAUGGAGAACAAGGGGCGCAACAAACAGGCAUUAUGGAAGAAAGGAGAAAUAAAUUGUACUUUAAAUAUUUUUAUAAAUACUGGUUACGUACAGCAGAGGUUUGCAAUUGUUUUUCAGCCAAGGACCCCUUACAAUAGAAUAUAUCGGGGACCCGCUCAUGUAUGUUCCUUGAGAUUAUCUUUAACACUUCUAUCGUCUUAGUUAUGUGAAAGAACAACACAAGAGAAAUGUACUAGAAAGAUAUUAGACAUGUAUUAAACAUAUUUGCAGAUUCUACGAGUUAUAGA